CGAACGCUGGCGGCAUGCCUAACACAUGCAAGUCGACCGAGACCUUCGGGUCUAGUGGCGCACGGGUGCGUAACGCGUGGGAACCUGCCCUUAGGUUCGGAAUAACUCCCCGAAAGGGGUGCUAAUACCGGAUAAUGUCUUCGGACCAAAGAUUUAUCGCCUUUGGAUGGGCCCGCGUUGGAUUAGCUAGUUGGUAGGGUAAAAGCCUACCAAGGCGACGAUCCAUAGCUGGUCUGAGAGGAUGAUCAGCCACACUGGGACUGAGACACGGCCCAGACUCCUACGGGAGGCAGCAGUGGGGAAUAUUGGACAAUGGGCGAAAGCCUGAUCCAGCAAUGCCGCGUGAGUGAUGAAGGCCUUAGGGUUGUAAAGCUCUUUUACCCGGGAUGAUAAUGACAGUACCGGGAGAAUAAGCUCCGGCUAACUCCGUG
rnacentral:rRNA from 1 species